GGAGGAGUGGCUGAGUGGUUGAAAGCGGCGGUCUUGAAAACCGUUGUACUUAACGGUACCGUGGGUUCGAAUCCUACCUCCUCCGCCA
rnacentral:tRNA from 1 species